rnacentral:tRNA from 1 species
UGCAUCGGCUGGGAAUCGAACCCGGGCCACCCGCGUGGCAGGCGAGCAUUCUACCGCUGAACCACCGAUGC